rnacentral:tRNA from 1 species
GGAUCUGUGGCGCAGCGGUACUGCGCUAGUCUAUGGCACUGGAGGUCCCGGGUUCGAAUCCCGGCCGUUCUG